rnacentral:rRNA from 1 species
CCUACGGGAGGCAGCAGUGGGGAAUAUUGGGCAAUGGGCGCAAGCCUGACCCAGCAACGCCGCGUGAAGGAAGAAGGCUUUCGGGUUGGAAACUUCUUUUGGCAAGGGAGCGUAGAAGACGAUACCUGACGAAUAAGCCACGGCUAACCACAUGCCAGCAGCCUCGGUAAGAAGUAGGUGGCAAGCGUGUUCCGGAUUUACUGGGUGUAAAGGGCGUGUAGCCGGGUUGACAAUGCAGAUGUGAAAUCCUGCGGCUUAACCGCAGAACUGCCUUUGAAACUGGUGAUCUUGAGUGCUGGGGAGGCAGAUGGAAUUCCUAGUGUAGCGGUGAAAUGCGUAGAUAUUAGGAGGAACACCAGUGGCGAAGGCGGUCUGCUGGACACCAACUGACGGUGAGGCGCGAAAGCGUGGGGAGCAAACAGGAUUAGAUACCCUGGUAGUC